rnacentral:rRNA from 1 species
GAUGAACGCUGGCGGCGUGCCUAAUACAUGCAAGUCGAGCGAACAGACGAGGUGCUUGCUCCUCUGACGUUAGCGGCGGACGGGUGAGUAACACGUGGAUAACCUACCUAUAAGACUGGGUUAACUUCGGGAAACCGGAUCUCAUACCGGAUAAUAUAUUGAACCGCAUGGUUCAAUAGUGAAAGACGGUUUUGCUGUCACUUAUAGAUUGAUCCGCUGCGCAUUAGCUAGUUGGUAAGGUAACGGCUUACCAAGGCGACGAUGCCUAGCCGACCUGGGAGGGUGAUCGGCCACACUGGAACUGAGACACGGUCCAGACGCCUACGGGAGGCAGCAGUAGGGAAUCUGCCGCAAAGGGCGAAAGCCUGACGGAGCAACGCCGCGUGAGUGAUGAAGGUCUUCGGAUCGUAAAACUCUGUUAUUAGGGAAGAACAAAUGUGUAAGUAACUAUGAACGUCUUGACGGUACCUAAUCAGAAAGCCACGGCUAACUACGUG